UAAAAAUUGAAAUUAGAGACGAAUCUAUUCUAUACUGUAAAAGAAAAUCGAAAUUAUCAAGGGAGACAACAAGAAAAUUAGAAAGCGAAUUAGAACACUUAACGACAAUUCAGAGAUGAACAAUUAAACGAAGAUGAAACACUAACAAAUAAUAUAAAACAAUUAGAAUUACAAUUAGACACAAUUUAUGAAUAUAAAGCAAAGGGGGCUCAAAUUAGAUCAAGGGAGAAAUGGAUAGAACUAGGGGAAAAGAAUAAUUCUUAUUUUCUGGGAUUAGAAAAACAGCGACAAGUAAAAAAAUCUAUUAACAAACUCAGAAAUGAAAAUAACGAGGUAACAAC
rnacentral:lncRNA from 1 species